UGGACCUCAGAUCAGGCAAGAUUACCCGCUGAGUUUAAGCAUAUCACUAAGCGGAGGAAAAGAAACUAACAAGGAUU
rnacentral:rRNA from 1 species